AAAAAAUGACAUGCUUUUGCUGGUUAUGACAUGAUCAUGUAUAAGCUGGAAAUCAUUCAACUUCUUAUUUUGGUUUGAAAAAUGUAAAUUGUAGGGCAACCAACAAAUCAUGUGCAACCUUUAAAGCCGUUGAUUUGAUAAUAAUAUGAAAUAAGAUGUCCAUUUUCAGAGUUGCAACAACAUUGAAAAAAAUUAAACAAUAAUAAGAUGGAAAAAAAACUCACAUAAUUCUCAGAAGUGAAUUUAAAACGUGUAAACAGAUUCUCUAUCAAACUUGUUUUCAGAGGAUAAAUGCACUUUCUUAAGAUUGCCUAAACUCUCGAUAGAUAUAACGAAUAGAUACCUUGAGAUAUCACUUAUAUCCAAAAAGGUUGUUGUUAUACAAAAGUUCUUAAAGAAAUCAACCUAUUAAGAAAAUAAAGGUUAGGGGUUCUACCGGAUUUCUUUCUUUUCAUUUCUUCCAAUUUCGUUUUUCUCCUAACACAUAGUUGGUCUCUGUAUUGUAGCGUGAACUGGCAACAUAGAUAUUGUGUUCAUAGCAUCGGAUUUACUUCUUUGUUAACUGAUCACCACUACACUCCCAACCCCCUCGUCAAAAUCAGUAUAUGAAUGAUCAAACUCUAGCCUAUAACAAUACGGAUAUUUUGAUGUUGAUUUCAUGGAAAAGUUGUAUGUAUGAAAGAGUGUCAUCAACUACAUAGCAUUGAGCCAGUUUUCUCUAGUGGCGACUACUCUAUCUCCCACCGCUGUAAUAUAUAGGAUAUAUCAGUUAGAGCAAUUUUUUUUAUAGUUUUGUAUAUUCUCGGCUGACUAUAUAAUCUAAACAAGAUCUCGCGAGAGUAUAUUAGCUCAUCUCUACCACUAUCACUAUCACUGUCACUAUCACUAUUACUAUCACUAUCAACUAUAACUUUAAAUAUCUAUGUCUAAUCAAACUACAUAUAUAUGUAGAUCCAUGCAUUUCUAAGUUUGAAUUGUUUCUAUGCCAAAAAAAAAAAAAAAAAUUGGUUAAUGUUUGACAAAACGACUGUUCACAGCCUCUCUAUGGUAGUUGAACAUAUACCAUAUACUUUUUGUUUAGAUAAAACAUAUGUAAUAACAAAUUUAGGUAAACCUACUCUUGAUCUUAGCUAGGUUUGAGCAAAGCAUUUCAUUUCAACAACGUACAAUAAUACAAUCACGAA
rnacentral:sRNA from 1 species